GGUGGGGUGGCCGAGUGGUUUAAGGCAGUAGUCUUGAAAACUACCGAAGAUUCAACGUCUUCCGUGGGUUCGAAUCCCACCCCCACCG
rnacentral:tRNA from 1 species